CCCUUAGAUGUUCUGGACCGCACGCGUGCUACACUGAGUGGAUCAGCGGGUCAGGUUGCGCGAAAGCGUUUCCUAAUCUUUAAAUCCGCUCGUGAUGGGGAUUGACGGUUGCAAUUUUCUGUCAUGAACGAGGAAUGCCUUGUAAGCGCGGGUCAUCAUCCCGCGCUGAAUACGUCCCUGCCCUUUGUACACACCGCCCGUCGCUCCUACCGAUUGAGUGGUCCGGUGAGGCUUUGGGAUCUGAGCGGAAAGAGCGUUUCGCUGUUUCUGCUCGGAAAACUCAGUCGAACCUUAUCAUUUAGAGGAAGGAGAAGUCGUAACA
rnacentral:rRNA from 1 species